rnacentral:misc_RNA from 1 species
UUAAGUUCAGCGGGUAGUCCUACUCGAUUUGAGGUCAAGUUGUCAGAUAUUGUCCGAAGACGGUUUGAAGCACAGAGCUCCCGAUCGGCCACCCUCGAAUGAGGCGCCGGCGAAGAUACUUAUCACGCCGUACUAUGUCCAACCGAGAGUUGCACUACUUCAUUUGAGGCGAGCCACAGUUAAGCAGCAGCACCCAAGUC